GUGUUCUUCAGAGCAUCCCUGUAGAAGUCCACAAGGAAGGAAAGAGCUGACCUGUGCAUGUGCUGUGAAUGUUCCUCAGCAAUCCCAACAAAAGGAUGGUUUUAGAAAUAUCUUGCUGAAGAUCUCAGUGAUUACUGCCUUUCCUUAUGGGAACUGAGACUUGCAGACCGGAAAGCGGAGCGUUGCAGCUCAUAUUCAAAGCAGCGAGUAGCAAGUCAAGAUCACUUAGAAGAUAGAUCUCACUUGGAAGGAGCCAUGCUACGGAGUCUGUGUUCUUAUUCUGCACUCUGGCCCUGCUCCUUCAUCCUGGCUGCCAGGCCUGAACCUCUUGGAGGGGAUGGGAAGUGUCCUUCUGCAUCUUGCAUUGCACCCUGGGUCUGCUGCGCAUUAGAGAUUGCCCAGGUCUGAAGAUAGACACACUCCAGCUCGCUUGGCUUUCACCCUUCACUCCUUCUUCAGAGCAGUGAAACCAUUUGAGAGGCUUGGAACA